GGGCUUAUAGUGUAGUUGGUUAUCGCGCCCGCUUCGCAGAUCGCUCAUUUCUGGGAUAACCCAGGUGAGCACGUGACUUGCGGGAGGUGCUGGGUUCAAUUCCCAGUGAGUCCA